CCUACGGGAGGCAGCAGUGGGGAAUAUUGGGCAAUGGAGGCAACUCUGACCCAGCAAUGCCGCGUGAGGGAUGACGGCAAUAUGAUUGUAAAGCUCUUUUCUUUGGAACGAAAAAAUGACGGUACCAAAGGAAUAAGCCCCGGCUAACUACGAGCCAGCAGCCGAGGUCAUACGUAGGGGGCAAGCGAUGUUCGGGAUGCCUUGGCGUUAAGGGUGUGUAGGGGGUUUGAUAAGUUAGAUUUGUAAUACCCAGGGCUUAAAUCGGGUAGUGCAUCUGAAACUGUUAGUCUUGAGUACUGGAGAGGAUAGUGGAAUUCCUGGUGUAGCGGUGAAAUGCGUAGAUAUUAGGAGGAACAUCAGUUGCGAAGGCAACUAACUGGACAGCAACUGACACUGAGGCACGAAAGCGUGGGGAGCAAACAGGAUUAGAUACCCGUGUAGUC
rnacentral:rRNA from 1 species